rnacentral:rRNA from 1 species
UACGUAGGGCGCAAGCGUUGUCCGGAAUUAUUGGGCGUAAAGAGCUCGUAGGCGGUCUGUUGCGUCCGCUGUGAAAACCCAGGGCUUAACCCUGGACCUGCAGUGGGUACGGGGCAGACUAGAGUGCGGUAGGGGAGAUCGGAAUUCCUGGUGUAGCGGUGAAAUGCGCAGAUAUCAGGAGGAACACCGGUGGCGAAGGCGGAUCUCUGGGCCGUAACUGACGCUGAGGAGCGAAAGCAUGGGGGAGCGAACAGG